ACGCUCGACACCUACGGGAGGUAGCAGUGGGGAAUAUUGCACAAUGGGGGAAACCCUGAUGCAGCAACGCCGCGUGAAGGAAGACGGUUUUCGGAUUGUAAACUUCUGUUCUUAGUGAAGAUAGUGACGGUAGCUAAGGAGCAAGCCACGGCUAACUACGUGCUAGCAGCCGCGGUAAUCUGAGCGGGCUGGCAAGGC
rnacentral:rRNA from 1 species